CUACCGGCGUCGCAAGGCGACGGGAUGCGCGAACAGAAGUCAGCAGAGGGCAUAGUAGGUCGAGGCGAAGGUGGCGAGCCGAUGAGCACCGAGGCCGAAGGCC
rfam:Pandoraea thiooxydans strain DSM 25325, complete genome.